rnacentral:rRNA from 1 species
GAUGAACGCUGGCGGCGUGCCUAAUACAUGCAAGUCGAGCGGACGGACGAGAAGCUUGCUUCUCUGAUGUUAGCGGCGGACGGGCGAGUAACACGUGGAUAACCUACCUAUACGUCUGGGAUAACUUCGGGAAACCGGAGCUAAUACCGGAUAAUAUUUUGAACCGCAUGGUUCAAAAGUGACAGACGGUCUUGCUGUCACUUAUAGCUGGAUCCGCGCUGCAUUAGCUAGCUGGUAAGGUAACGGCUUACCAAGGCAACGAUGCAUAGCCGACCGGAGAGGGUGAUCGGCGGCACUUGAAAUGGGACACGGUCCAGACUUCCACGGGAGGCAGCGGUGGGGAAAUUGGCGGAGUGGGCGAGAGCCUGACGGAGCGACGCCGCGUGAGUGAUGAAGGCCCGCGGAUCGGACUACACUGUUCUUGGGAAAGAACAUAUGUGGAAGCCCCCGGGCAUGGCUUGACGGUCAGCAAUCAGGACGCGACAGCAAUCUACGUU